rnacentral:rRNA from 1 species
UACGGGGGGGGCAAGCGUUGUUCGGAAUUACUGGGCGUAAAGGGCUCGUAGGCGGCCCACUAAGUCGGAUGUGAAAUCCCCAGGCUUAACCUGGGAACUGCAUUCGAUACUGGAUGGCUUGAAUCCGGGAGAGGGAUGCAGAAUUCCAGGUGUAGCGGUGAAAUGCGUAGAUAUCUGGAGGAAUGCCGGGUGCGAAGGCGGCAUCCUGGACCGGAAUUGACGCUGAGUGAGCGAAAGCUAGGGGAGCAAACGGG